UACGUAUGAUAGGACCGCAGUUAUGCAU
rnacentral:sRNA from 1 species